rnacentral:snoRNA from 1 species
AGGUCAUUUCAAAGAGGGCUUGUGGGACUUAAACCAGGAGCUCUUAACGCUGUGACCAAAGAUAGAGGUUCUCCAUAGGAUGACAGACACUCGAUGAUAGUGCUUUGUUUCUUUUCCUGAGGGAGAUACACAA